GAUGAACGCUAGCUACAGGCUUAACACAUGCAAGUCGAGGGACCGGCGCCCGGGUGAGUCACACGUAUCAAACCUGCCCUUUACUCGGGGAUCGACUUUCGAAAGAAAGAUUAAUACCCGAUGUAAAGGAUGGGGAUGCGUUCCAUUAGGUUGUUGGUGUGGUAUCGGCUCACCAAGCCUUCGAUGGAUAGGGGUUCUGAGAGGAAGGUCCCCCACAGUGGAACUGAGACACGGUCCAAACGCCUACGGGAGGAAGCAGUGAGGAAUAUUGGUCAAUGGGCGUUAGCCUGAACCAGCCAAGUAGCGUGAAGGAUGAAGGCUUAUGGGUCGUAAACUUCUUUUAUAUAAGAAUAUGUAUUAUAUGAAUAAGGAUCGGCUAACUCCGUGCCAGCAGCCGCGGUAAUUC
rnacentral:rRNA from 1 species